CACGUAGUUAGCCGUGGCUUAUUCAAGGGGUACCGUCUUCUGCUCUUCCCUCUUAAAAGAAGUUUACAACCCGAAAGCCUUCUUCCUUCACGCGGCGUUGCUGGGUCAGGCUUGCGCCCAUUGCCCAAUAUUCCCCACUGCUGCCUCCCGUAGGAGUCUGGGCCGUAUCUCAGUCCCAAUGUGGCCGGCCAACCUCUCAGUCCGGCUACUGAUCGUCGCCUUGGUGGGCCGUUACCUCACCAACUAGCUAAUCAGACGCGAGGCCAUCUCUCAGCGAUAAAUCUUUGGCACAGAUACCAUGCGAUACCCAUGCGUUAUGCGGUAUUAGCAGUCGUUUCCAACUGUUGUCCCCCUCUGAAAGGCAGGUUCCUCACGCGUUACUCACCCGUCCGCCACUAAGUAACUCCAUCCAUUGACCGAAAUCUCUUUCCGGAGCACUCCGUUCGACUUGCAUGUGUUAAGCACGCCGCCAGCGUUCGUCCUGAGCCAGGAUCAAACUCU
rnacentral:rRNA from 1 species